AGCUCCAAUAGCGUAUACUAAAGUUGUUGCAGUUAAAAAGCUCGUAGUUGGAUUUCUGUGUUGGUGUGACGGCUUGUGGACCCACUGGGCACAUGAGAUCAGUUUACAUCGACGCAUCUUGCCACGAACUGCUCUGACCUUAAUUGGCCGGGGUUUCAGGGACUGGCUCGUUUACUUUGAGAAAAAUAGAGUGUUCAAAGCAGGCAUUUGCCUUGAAUAUGUUAGCAUGGAAUAAUAACAUAGGACUUUGGUUCUAUUUUGUUGGUAUUUGGGGACCGAAGUAAUGAUUGAUAGGGACCGUUGGGGGCAUCCGUAUUCUGAAGCGAGCGGUGAAAUGCAUAGACCUUUGGAAGACGAACAACUGCGAAAGCAUUUGCCAAGGAGGUUCUCUUUA
rnacentral:rRNA from 1 species